AGUGAACGCUGGCGGUAGGCCUAACACAUGCAAGUCGAACGGCAGCACAGUAAGAGCUUGCUCUUACGGGUGGCGAGUGGCGGACGGGUGAGGAAUACAUCGGAAUCUACUUUUUCGUGGGGGAUAACGUAGGGAAACUUACGCUAAUACCGCAUACGACCUACGGUUGAAAGCAGGGGAUCUUCGGACCUUUCGCGAUUGAAUGAGCCGAUGUCGGAUUAGCUAGUUGGCGGGGUAAAGGCCCACCAAGGCGACGAUCCGUAGCUGGUCUGAGAGGAUGAUAAGCCCCACUGGAACUGAGACACGGUCCAGACUCCUACGGGAGGCAGCAGUGGGGAAUAUUGGACAAUGGGCGCAAGCCUGCUCCAGCCCUACCGCGUGGGUGAAGAAGGCCUUCGGGUUGGAAAGGUCUUCUGUUGGGAAAGAAAAGCAGCAGGUUAAUACCCCGCUGUUCUGACGGUACCCAAAGAAUAAGCACCGGCUAACUUCGUG
rnacentral:rRNA from 1 species